CAGAAAAUAGUUUAAUUAAAAUAUUAAUUUUGGAGAUUAAAGAUAAUAGUGUAUAUUUUUUCUGA
rnacentral:tRNA from 1 species